GACUGGGAUAGCUCAGUUGGCAGCGCAUGAGACUCUUAAUCUCAGGGUCAUGGGUUUGCACCCCACAUUGGGCA